UACAGAGGUCCCGAGCGUUGUUCGGAUUCAUUGGGCGUAAAGGGUGCGUAGGCGGUCUGCUAAGUUUGAUGUGAAAUCCCGGGGCUCAACCCUGGAAUUGCAUUGAAUACUGGUGGACUAGAGUACUGGAGAGGAAACUGGAAUUUAUGGUGUAGCAGUGAAAUGCGUAGAGAUCGUAAGGAAGACCAGUGGCGAAGGCGAGUUUCUGGACAGUAACUGACGCUGAGGCACGAAGGCCAGGGGAGCAAACGGG
rnacentral:rRNA from 1 species